rnacentral:rRNA from 1 species
CCUACGGGAGGCAGCAGUGAGGAAUAUUGGUCAAUGGACGAGAGUCUGAACCAGCCAAGUAGCGUGAAGGAUGACUGCCCUAUGGUUUGUAAACUUCUUUUAUAUGGGAAUAAAACAGGGUAUGCAUACCCUCUUGUAUGUACCAUAUGAAUAAGGAUCGGCUAACUCCGUUCCAGCAGCCGCGGUAAUACGGAGGCUCCGAGCGUUAUCCGGAUUUAUUGGGUUUAAAGGGCGCGUAGGUGGUUUGUUAAGUCAGUUGUGAAAGUUUGGGGCUCAACCGUGAAAUUGCAGUUGAAACUGGCAGUCUUGAGUACAGUAGAGGUGGGUGGAAUUCGUGGUGUAGCGGUGAAAUGCUUAGAGAUCACGAAGAACUCCGAGUGCGAAGGCAGCUCACUGGACUACAACUGACACUGAUGCUCGAAAGUGUGGGGAUCAAACAGGAUUAGAUACCCGAGUAGUC